rnacentral:ncRNA from 1 species
AUGUAAUUGUUCAUGUAUCCACUUAGCCAUGUGGUGGAUAACAUUAUCCACGCUUAUUAUUAAGAUGUCACUAUUCAGAUUAGGAAAAGAAAAAUGAAAGAUAAAAGUUAGAAGUUACAAUCCAUUAGGGACUAUGAAAAUAACUCAUACCAAAUCUAUUGGCCCUAAAAAUAGACGGUUUUGAAGCAAGUUGCAUGCACUUGAUCAUCGAAGAAAGUACAAUGUCCAAUGAGUAGGAGAACAUAUAAACCUUAGGUUUGAUGCUAGGUAGACCGACCCGUAGUGCAGAUCUUGGUGGUAGUAGCAAAUAUUCAAAUGAGAAAUUUAAAGAGUGGAGUGGGGAAAGCUUCAAUGUGAACAACACUUGGACAUGUGUUACUCAAUCCUAAGAAAUGGGGAAGCCCUAUAUCAAGGGUGCACUUUAUGUGAAGGAAUUAAAUUUUUAUAUGGUAUUACUUUGGUAUGUAAAUAUCUUUUAUAAAAUCUAAAUUGGGAAAACCCCUUUUGUUUAAGGGAAUGAUGUGUCGAAGUACAAUUUAGGAGUUGUUUUUGGAUGAUCUGUUUGGACUAUGAAGUGCCAAAGUACAAUUUAAGAGUUACUU